rnacentral:hammerhead_ribozyme from 1 species
AUCCGGCUGAGAAGUCCUAAAUAGGAGGAAACGCGCGUCCUGGAC